rnacentral:rRNA from 1 species
GACGAACGCUGGCGGCGUGCCUAAUACAUGCAAGUUGAGCGCUGAAGGUUGGUACUUGUACCCACUGGAUGAGCAGCGAACGGGAGAGUAACGCGUGGGGAAUCUGCCUUUGAGCGGGGGACAACAUUUGGAAACGAAUGCUAAUACCGCAUAAAAACUUUAAACACAAGUUUUAAGUUUGAAAGAUGCAAUUGCAUCACUCAAAGAUGAUCCCGCGUUGUAUUAGCUAGUUAGUGAGGUAAAGGCUCACCAAGGCGAGGAUACAUAGCCGACCUGAGAGGGUGAACGCACACAUUGGGACUGAGACACGGCCCAAACUCCUACGGGAGGCAGCAGUAGGGAAUCUUCGGCAAUGGACGAAAGUCUGACCGAGCAACGCCGCGUGAGUGAAGAAGGUUUUCGGAUCGUAAAACUCUGUUGGUAGAGAAGAACGUUGGUGAGAGUGGAAAGCACAUCAAGGAACGGAAACGACCCAGAAAGGGACGGUGAACUACGU